GAUGAACGCUGGCGGCGUGCCUAAUACAUGCAAGUCGAGCGAAUUGACAGAGGUGCUUGCACCUCUCGAUUUUAGCGGCGGACGGGUGAGUAACACGUGGGUAACCUACCUAUAAGACUGGGAUAACUUCGGGAAACCGGAGCUAAUACCGGAUAAUAUUUAGCUUCGCAUGAAGCAAUAGUGAAAGACGGUUCUGCUGUCACUUAUAGAUGGACCUGCGGUGUAUUAGCUAGUUGGUGAGGUAACGGCUCACCAAGGCAACGAUACAUAGCCGACCUGAGAGGGUGAACGGCCACACUGGGACUGAGACACGGCCCAGACUCCGACGGGAGGCAGCAGUAGGGAAUCUUCCGCAAUGGACGACAGUCUGACGGAGCAACGCCGCGUGAGUGAAGAAGGUUUUCGGAUCGUAAAACUCUGUUGUAAGGGAAGAACAAGUACGUUAGUAACUGAACGUACCUUGACGGUACCUUACCAGAAAGCCACGGCUAACUACGUGCCAGCAGCCGCCGCAGUAA
rnacentral:rRNA from 1 species